rnacentral:lncRNA from 1 species
CCGACUCGGAGCCCCCAGCUCCGCGCGAGCAGCUAGCCGGGCUGGCUCUCGGUGUGUGCCCUUCGGAUGGUCUGCUGAAGAGGGCCGCCAGCUGGUAAGACACUCCGAGGCAACGACCGGUCUCCCUCUCCCUAGCCCGGUGUGCAGUCUGACCCAGCCCCCACAGCAGACCACCCCCAGACCGGGCGCCCGAGUCUGCGGACCGCUCUACCGCACCUGGUUCUGGCUCUGGGCCCCGGGCCCCGUGGCUGCCAGGGGCCGCCGGGAAGGGAGGAUGCGCGCCACUGGGGUGCGCCUGGCUUGCGGCACCCUCCUCCCGCAGUGGUCGGAAGAGAGUUUGGUCUUCCACAACUGUGUUUCCCCAAAAGAUGCCGUGCUGUUCUGAUAGACUUUAGUCCUCUGACUUCUGUAGACAAGACAGAUACUGUAAAGACAGCAAAGAACAAACAGAAUGGCAGAUUGCUAAUGUUUGAUCCAAACGAAAAAGUGAUGAUUGAAUCAAACGAAGCAAUGUCAGAGUAAGAAGAUGUCUUUGAUUGUGCAGCUGAUCUCUCCCAUGCCUUUUAAGCAAUUAGAACUAGAUAAUGCAGCCAUUUGUCACCCAAUUAAAUUUGAAAGGCCAGAAAUGCAUGGAUUAGCACUUCAGCUUUUGCUGCAGUCAAAGCAAUUGUUACUAUAGAUAGAAGGACAGUUAAAAUGAAAAAUGAAUUUUGAUAAAAAUGCAGAAGUAUAGAUAAUAUUCACUUCUACUUUUUAAUGCUUAAACACCCUGUAUUCUGUAUUUUACUUGUAUCAUAAUUUUCAUUGCUCAUUCCUAUUUCCCUUUGAUACUUAUUUCUUUCACAAUAUUUCUUCAAGUGAAUAUGUACUUUAAAAUUAACAAAUUAUUUACUAUAACAUGAAUUGUUACUACUCAAUAAAGAAAGUAAUCACCUCAACUAGUUGAAGAAACUGGUGUUAAAAAAAUUGUAUUCUUUCCAGCCUUUUGGCUAAGAUCAAGUGUAAAAAAAUCACAGUACAAUAUCAAUUUAGUAGCUAAAUUUUAAAUAUCUUCUCUGUUCAAGGCUCUGAUUCUGAUAAUCUAU